CCCUGCGGGGCGGCCGGGAGCUCCGAACCCCCGCCUCCGCCGUCGCCGCAGGCCCAGGCCCAGGGGUGGGUAGGCGCUGAGGAAGGGAGGCGAGGAAGUUCGCAGCUCGGUGCUCCCCGGUUCCCACCUGCAGGAGAGAGGCUGUGUCCGGAGUAGGGGGUGGUGAGAGGCAUGCUCUAGGCACUGGGGACAUAACAGUGAACAAAACGGAUGUGGACCCGAUGGAGCUUACAUGAAUGUUGUGGAAGAAGUUAAGUGCAUGCUGCCCACAAGCACGUAGACCCCAGAAGCUUGGAACCAGAAGGUUGAUGAUGUUGACUCUCGAUUACCUCACCACCAACCAAUCAGAAGAAUGUCCACGAGCUGAUCAUACACCCCACAACCUCCCUCCCUCACCCUGUCUUUAAAAACCU